rnacentral:lncRNA from 1 species
UGUAACAUAUUUCUGGACCCAUUUUCUAGGUUACAUGACUCUCCCCUCCUGCCUGUGCCCUGAUUCCUUGGUAACUACAGCAUUUCUGAGCACUGCAUCCAAAUGAUAUGACUGUCUUGCCUGGGCCCUGUCAACAGGAGGCAUUGUGACAUAUUUUGGGGCCCAUCAUUUAGGGGAUAAGACUCUCCUCUCCUGCUUGGACACUGCCCACAAGGGACAUUGUGCCACAGCGCUGGACCUAGCACACAAGUUAUGUGACGUUUCUGACAGGUCUGCCUAAAAAGAGGAUUUUGGAAUAUUUCUGGCCCAGCAUUUAGGUGAUGUGGCUGUCCUGCCUGCUUCAUAACCACAGAGGGGAUUGUAACAUAUGCCUAGGCACAGCUCACAGGCAUGAUAAUGACUCUUAUAUAUGGAUUCAGCCAAUAGAGGAUAUUUUGACUUUUAUAACCAGAUUUACAUACAUGCAUGAUGUCUUGGAUCACAUUCCUGUACAAAGGUCACAAAAGAUUACAACACUCACACAUAUUUUACAAAGUCUUUCGGUAAUACAGACAGAGCCAAAGCAGGGCUCAGCACACACGUGAAAUUGUUAGUCAUGUAUCCAGACCCAGCUGACAGUAAGGAUUGUCAUCAUUUCACAUGGAUGAAGCCAACUGUGACACAUGAAAACAGAACAAGUGUGGUAUUGUGAAUCUCAUCUUUGGAAUUUUCUGACAGUACGAUUGUGAUACAAAUUUUUUCCAAGCAACUGUGUAAUUUGACCCUACAGAGUUUUUCCAGCACAUAUAUGGGAUUGUGAUGUCUACCUAGGCCAAUCUCAAGGUGAUAUAACCCUCUUCUCUGGAAUGGGCCCCACACAAAGGAAGGAUAGUGACAUAUUGCAAGCCCAGGCACACAGGUGGUUUGGUGACGUUUGAACCAUGAUUCAGCAAAUCUGUAUUGCUUUUACUCCCCUACUGGAACACAAUCUUCAAGGGGCAUUGGGGCUUUUAUACAUGGAUCUUGCCUAUUGUUGAGAUUGCGACUCCUGUAUUUUGACCCAACUCAUAGGAGGUGUUAUCUCUCAUACCUGAAGCCAGGACUUUUGUUGGACUGUGAAACUUAUUUCUGAACAUUUUUGAGUGUGUGAUUGAGAAGUAUGACUUUGCCCA